CGCCGGCAGUUCUCCCGGCUCGCCGUCGAAACAUGGUGUCUCCACUCUGCGACUCUCAAUUACUAAACCACCGCCCUUCGAUCUCCCCCACACCUUCUCACUCCACGAUCGCUGAUCGAAAAUUCCUCCGCCAUAAUCGUCCUCUGAGCUCUUCCCCGUUCCUGGGAAACGGAAUCAAGCUAGGUGUAUCAGGAUGUAGUAGUAGGAGGUACUCUCUUCGGAUUCGGAGGAGGAGCACGAGUGUACACGCUUCGUUAGGCGGUCUUCUCAGCGGGAUUUUCAAGACUUCGGAUAACGGAGAGUCCACGAGGCAACAGUACGCAUCAGUCGUCGCCUCCGUUAACCGCUUGGAGACGGAGAUUUCGUCUCUUUCGGAUUCGGAUUUGCGAGGGAGGACCGAUGCGUUGAAGCAACGAGCUCAACAAGGAGAGUCCAUGGAUUCACUUCUGCCUGUAACUUUACCAAAUCCUUCGUUUCAGUUUUGUGAUUUGAUGCCAAAUUGGUUUUGAUUAAAUCUAAUUUUGCAGGAGGCGUUUGCUGUUGUGAGAGAAGCUUCCAAGAGAGUUCUUGGACUCAGACCUUUCGAUGUGCAACUGAUAGGUAAACGCAAUCUCUGUGGACUGUCACUGUUUACUUUCCAUUGGGUCUUUUGAUAUGCCUUGAAUUUUUGUUCUGAACGUUAGUGAGCUUAUUAGCAUUAGUCAGCACGGAGAUUUUACUGCCCUGUCACCGAGUUAGGGGUCUAGGGGAACAACGUCACCCUGGUCUGAGGUCGGGGGGGCAAAGACCCCCAGCUCAGUCGAUAUAGUGUCACUCUUAUAUAGGGUCCUAAAACCGCGGGAUACUAUUAUAUAUCUCUAUUUGUACUAAGGAAACUGAAAUCGCCUCCAAGAAUACAACUGAUUUGGUGAAGAACUAGCAAUCUCUAUUUUUUACACUAUAUUUAGACCAAUGCUGUUUUAGGAGAAUACAAUGGAUCCAACUCUAAUAGAGAUCUCUAUUUUUUUUGGAAGAAAAAAUAGCAAAAUAUAAAAUAGAAGAAAAAAUAGCAAAAUAUAUUGGAGAUGGUCUUUUAUGCGCCACUGUAUUCUGUUUAGUCACAUUUAUUCCGCGGUCUGAAACCGAGAAGAUUUUAGGAUGCGGGAUACUCUCUUAUAUAUAUCCAUCCCUAUUUGUAUUUUGAAAUCUGAAAUGGCCUCCUAUAAUAUAACCAUUUUGGAUUUAUUUAUCGUGUUUAUUAAGUAUUUACUCGCAUCUGUUAUAGCACAUUCAACUCUACGUUUGGUUUGAUUGCAGGUGGUAUGGUCCUCCAUAAAGGAGAGAUAGCUGAGAUGAGAACUGGUGAAGGGAAAACUCUUGUAGCCAUUUUACCUGCUUACUUGAAUGCGUUAAGUGGGAAAGGUGUUCAUGUGGUUACUGUCAAUGAUUAUCUUGCUCGUAGAGAUUGUGAAUGGGUUGGUCAAGUUCCUCGCUUUCUUGGAUUGAAGGUUGGUCUGAUCCAACGUAUGUCUCUUCCUCUGAACUCACUUGUGUAUCUCUACUAAUAGGAAAAAAACUAACUUGUUACUAUGGCAGAGAAUAUGACACCUGAACAAAGAAAGGAAAAUUAUUUAUGCGACAUCACUUAUGUCACCAACAGUGAGCUUGGAUUCGACUAUCUGAGAGACAAUCUUGCCACGGAAAGUAAUUCUUGCUUUGUUCUCUCUUUUGUUUCUGGAUGUUACGAGUUUUUGUUUGAAUGCCUUUGCUGAGUUGUUAGUUACUGAAUCUACAGAGUGUGGAGGAGCUCGUCUUGAGGGAUUUCAAUUAUUGUGUAAUUGAUGAAGUUGAUUCCAUACUUAUUGAUGAGGCAAGAACUCCUCUCAUUAUCUCUGGCCCUGCAGAGAAACCUAGUGAGCAAUACUACAAAGCUGCCAAAAUUGCUUCAGCCUUUGAGCGGGAUAUACAUUACACUGUAAGACUCUUUCAGUUAAUUCUUGUAUUGUUUGAAUCCAUUCAUCUUCCUAAUUCUAACUGCUCACUGAGCUUUUUUGGUGUUGCAGGUUGAUGAAAAGCAAAAGACUGUUUUACUAACGGAACAAGGUUACGAAGAUGCAGAAGAAAUCCUGGACGUGAAAGAUUUGUAUGAUCCUCGUGAACAAUGGGCGUCAUAUCUUCUUAAUGCCAUUAAGGCAAAAGAACUGUUUCUCAGAGAUGUGAACUAUAUCAUCCGAACAAAGGAGGUUCUUAUCGUGGAUGAGUUUACUGGUCGUGUGAUGCAGGUAUUGUGUAUAUCUUUUUCUAAUUAAACAUUACGUAGUAGUAACCCACUGAACAAGUUGUGUCUUCUGCAGGGAAGACGUUGGAGUGACGGACUACAUCAAGCAGUUGAAGCAAAAGAAGGCUUGCCAAUUCAGAAUGAAUCUAUUACACUGGCAUCCAUUAGUUAUCAAAAUUUCUUUCUCCAGGUCGGUAAUGCUCUACUUUCAACAUUUUGAAUAAAGUUACUUCGAGAUCUUAAUGCUUAGUUUCUGCUGUGGUGUAGUUCCCGAAACUUUGCGGGAUGACUGGUACUGCAUCAACCGAGAGUGCAGAAUUUGAGAGCAUAUACAAGCUGAAAACUACAAUUGUACCCACAAAUAAGCCCAUGAUAAGAAAGGUUUGUAUUGUAUCUUAUUUUCUGAACUUGCACCUCAAAAAUGUAUGAGUAACUUAGGUGUUUUGUCUUUUCUAAACCAAAAGGGUUUCAUCUUUCCUUGUUUAAUCACUUGCAGGAUGAGUCAGAUGUGGUUUUCAAGGCAGUUAAUGGCAAAUGGCGGGCAGUGGUGGUGGAAAUUUCUAGAAUGCAUAAGACUGGUAGAGCUGUGCUGGUUGGUACAACCAGCGUUGAGCAGAGUGACGAGCUUUCUCAACUAUUGCAGGAAGCUGGAAUAACUCACGAGGUAAGGCUUCCAUGUCAUUUUGAGAAAUCUUAUUUUGGUGUUUUUAUGCAGAAAUAAAUCCAAAAUUUAUACUCCCUUAGUAUUUAGUCCCCAAAAAAAUCUAUGGCAUCUAAAAACCAGUUUGCAAAAUUGAAACAAAUGAUAUUCACUGUACUAGAAAACUGACAGAUGAUGUUAUAUGUAUGUUGAACAAAUAGGUCCUCAAUGCAAAACCAGAGAAUGUGGAGAGAGAAGCUGAAAUUGUAGCACAAAGUGGUCGUUUAGGGGCUGUAACAAUUGCCACAAAUAUGGCUGGGCGUGGGACAGACAUUAUUCUCGGUGGAAACGCAGAGUUUAUGGCACGUUUCGAGUCCUUUAGUUCGAACUCGAUUCAGGAUUCAUUAUAGCAGAUCUUCAUGAUGUUUUUGCUAAGAUUUGGAUUUGGCUCAGUUUUAAAUGGACUCCAUUAAGUCAUAAAUGAGUCUUCCUAGUUAAUGAUCCAAGUUCCAUAAAGUCAUUUUGGGCUCUCAACCCAUUUGGGGAAUCUGUGAGGAUCAGAAGAAUCGAAUCACUUAGGAUAAGAUUGCAUCUGUUUUAUUCUGUUUUGCUGAGCAAUGUUUUGGAACCUCUUUAGCUUUAUGUCAACUUGAGUGCUCUGGAAUCAAAUUAUUCUUUUUUAACCUUUUAAAAAGGUUUCAGGAUUAUAUAACAAAGGUUGCUGAUUCAUUGUUUCUUAUGAUGUUUAUUAGCUUUGAGAAAAAUGGAGACUUUCCUAUUCACAUCUGAGUCCGUGAACGAAGGACACCCAGACAAGCUUUGCGACCAGAUCUCUGACGCAGUCCUCGACGCCUGCCUUGAGCAAGACCCCGACAGCAAAGUCGCCUGUGAGACUUGCACCAAGACCAACAUGGUCAUGGUCUUCGGUGAGAUCACCACCAAGGCCACCGUCGACUACGAGAAGAUCGUCCGUGACACUUGCCGCUCUAUUGGAUUCAUCUCUGAUGAUGUUGGUCUCGACGCUGACAAAUGCAAAGUCCUUGUCAACAUCGAGCAACAGAGCCCAGACAUUGCUCAAGGUGUUCACGGUCACUUCACCAAGCGCCCGGAAGACAUUGGAGCUGGUGACCAGGGUCACAUGUUUGGUUACGCCACUGACGAGACCCCUGAGCUCAUGCCUCUGAGCCAUGUUCUUGCGACCAAGAUCGGUGCUAAACUUACUGAAGUGAGGAAGAACGGAACUUGCCGUUGGUUAAGACCAGACGGCAAGACCCAAGUCACUGUCGAGUACUACAAAGACAACGGAGCCAUGGUUCCAGUCCGUGUCCACACCGUCCUUAUCUCAACCCAGCACGAUGAGACCGUGACCAACGAGGAGAUCGCACGUGACCUCAAGGAGCACGUGAUCAAACCAAUCAUCCCGGAGAAGUACCUCGACGACAAAACCAUCUUCCACCUCAACCCAUCAGGCCGGUUCGUGAUCGGUGGACCACACGGUGACGCCGGUUUAACCGGACGUAAGAUCAUCAUCGAUACUUACGGAGGAUGGGGAGCUCACGGAGGAGGUGCUUUCUCAGGGAAAGACCCGACCAAAGUCGACAGAAGCGGAGCUUACAUCGUGAGGCAAGCCGCCAAGAGCGUUGUUGCUAACGGAAUGGCUCGUAGGGCUCUUGUCCAAGUCUCGUACGCCAUUGGAGUUCCCGAGCCGUUGUCUGUGUUCGUGGACACUUACGGAACAGGGUUGAUUCCAGACAAGGAGAUACUGAAGAUCGUGAAAGAGAGCUUCGAUUUCAGACCAGGGAUGAUGACUAUUAACUUGGACUUGAAGAGAGGAGGCAAUGGGAGGUUUUUGAAAACGGCGGCGUAUGGGCAUUUCGGAAGAGACGACCCUGACUUCACCUGGGAGGUCGUGAAGCCACUCAAGUGGGACAAACCUCAGGCUUAAGAUUCUUAUUAUUACUAUCAUGAUUUUAGUAUUUUCUAUGCUUGUUUCUAUCCCUUUUCACUUUUAAACAUCUGCUUUGAGCAAUAAUUAACCCCCUCUGUUUUGGGGCUUUUAUUUUAUUUUCUGUCUUUUUUAAUGAAAGUUUAUGGUUUGUCUGAUCUUUAUAAUGUUUUCUUCUUUGACGACGAUAUAAGCUCACAAUGAUAGUCAAAGACUACGAGAUUUACUCCUUAACAAGUGGUAAAGACUCAUACCGGUAGUAGAUAUGCCGACCAAGCUACUAAAGAACACAUGAUAACUUCAAACUGUCCUCAGAACAUGGAUACAAUUUUAUUACUAAUACAUUUGGUUUUAAUUUAUACAGUUUUCUGGUUCUGAUUCCAAUAAUGGUAACGCUCAACAAACAAGGUGAGCAUUCUACUCGAGUCAAUUUGUUCCCUAGGGGUUGAUAGGAUAAUUAUAUCCCUAAUAGAGUAAUAGUCUAUCUACUAUAUUUUCAUAAACAAAAAAAAUAAAAAUAAAAAUGCAUCUGCUUUCUUUUUUCAUAUUAAUUUUUUUUAUCAUAAAAAUUGGAGAAAGAAAUAUAUUUUCAUAAAUUCUUUCAAAACAUAGAAAAUGAGAGAAUAGGUGAGAUCUGUAAAUCAUUUUAUAAAUUAUUUCAAACAGAGAAAAUGAGAGAAACAAAGUAAAAAUUACGUAUCAAUAAUUUUUUGACAAAAUUUGACUUAAUUGAUAUAAAAUUUAUUAUAACUCUUUUCGUAAAAUACGGUAGCAGUCAAUUUGGCCAUUCGGUUUUUAGUUCGGUUUUUCGAUUAUAGAGGCUUAGAAUCUGUUCGGAUAUUUAGAAUGUUUGGUUCAUUUUCGGUUCAGGUAACAAAGUUGGAAACCGGUUUAUAUCCAAAAUAAUUUUGGAUCCUAUUCGGUUCUGGUUCGGUAAGUCUUUUUGGUUAAUUAGGGUUAAAAAUAAAAUAAAAUUGGAGUUUUUUCAGAUCAAAUAUCAUUUUUUUUUCAGAUAAAAAUUUAGAUGAUUCGGAUAAUAUUAAGUAUUUUGGAUAAAAAUUAUUAAUUUAAAUUUUGGGUAUUUUGACUUGUAACUAAUAUUUUAAAAUUAUUUGAUUAUUGUAAAACGAAAUAUAACUAAUAUUUAUAAGUUUGUAACCAAUAUUAUAGAUAUUCAGGUAACUAUUCGUUCUCGGUUCGGUUUUUCAAGAGAGAUAGAAUCCACUAGUAUAAUUGAUAUGAUCCAAAUUCGAAUUGAAUUUUGUUUUUCGGUUCGGUUCGAUUAUCCGGUUUCGGAUAAAUGUGCCUAGAGCCAGCUAGAAAGAAUGAUAGAAGCUCAACGACGUGGCACACAGAAGGUUAUCCAACAAGAAUCGGGUUCGGGGGUAUAUUUGUAAUAUCAAGCACCUUAUCCUCAACGUCUCAGUUCUCUCUCUCCCGUGCUCUUCACUCGACGACUCACCCCGUAAACCAAAGUUCUCUCUCCUAGCCGGACUCUUGUCGCCCCCCGCCGGCAGUUCUCCCGGCUCGCCGUCGAAACAUGGUGUCUCCACUCUGCGACUCUCAAUUACUAAACCACCGCCCUUCGAUCUCCCCCACACCUUCUCACUCCACGAUCGCUGAUCGAAAAUUCCUCCGCCAUAAUCGUCCUCUGAGCUCUUCCCCGUUCCUGGGAAACGGAAUCAAGCUAGGUUUAUCAGGAUGUAGUAGUAGUAGUACCUCCUCUCUUCGGAUUCGGAGGAGGAGCACG
rnacentral:lncRNA from 1 species